rnacentral:tRNA from 1 species
GAGGGUAUAGCUCAAGUGGUAGAGCAUAUGUUUAGCAUGCAUGAGAUCCUGGGUUCAAUCCCUAGUACCGCCU